GAUGAAGAACGCAGUGAAAUGCGAUACUUGGUGUGAAUUGCAGAAUCCCGUGAACCAUCGAGUCUUUGAACGCAAGUUGCGCCCGAAGCCGUCAGGCCGAGGGCACGCCUGCCUGGGCGUCACACGCCGUUGCCCCCCCGCGCCCCGCACCCAACGCUUUGGGAGCGACCGCGGGGCGGGCUGAUGAUGGCCUCCCGUGCGCUCCGCCGCGCGGUUGGCCCAAAUACCGAGUCCCCGGCGACGUGCGCCACGACGAUCGGUGGUUGAGAGACCUCUGUCGCAAGUCGUGCGCGCCCGUCGCGUCACGCGGGCUCGCAUAGCGCCUCGCGCCGCACCCGGUGCGGAGCUUUCAACGCGACCCCAGGUCAGGCGGGGUUACCCGCUGAAUUUAAGCAUAUCAAUAAGCGGAGGA
rnacentral:misc_RNA from 1 species